rnacentral:rRNA from 1 species
AUUGAACGCUGGCGGCAUGCUUUACACAUGCAAGUCGAACGGCAGCGCGGGCUUCGGCCUGGCGGCGAGUGGCGAACGGGUGAGUAAUGCAUCGGAACGUGCCCAGCAGUGGGGGAUAGCCCGGCGAAAGCCGGAUUAAUACCGCAUACGACCAGAGGGUGAAAGCGGGGGACCGAAAGGCCUCGCGCCAUUGGAGCGGCCGAUGUCGGAUUAGCUAGUUGGUGGGGUAAAGGCCUACCAAGGCGACGAUCCGUAGCUGGUCUGAGAGGACGACCAGCCACACUGGGACUGAGACACGGCCCAGACUCCUACGGGAGGCAGCAGUGGGGAAUUUUGGACAAUGGGGGCAACCCUGAUCCAGCCAUGCCGCGUGCGGGAAGAAGGCCUUCGGGUUGUAAACCGCUUUUGUUCGGGAAGAAAUCCUCUGGGCUAAUACCCCGGGGGGAUGACGGUACCGGAAGAAUAAGCACCGGCUAACUACGUG